rnacentral:rRNA from 1 species
GGUAUUUGUUGCUAGCUGGUCUUAAUGUCCAUGUUAGUUAACAGAUCCUCAUUUGCUGGAUGGCUAACGAUGGUCUUAAUCGAUUGUCGUUAGUUACCAGAACGUUUACUUUGAGAAAAUUAGAGUGCUAAAAGCAGGCUCACGCCUAUAUAUAUUGCAUGGAAUAAUGAAAUAAGAUCUCGAUUUUAUUUCGUUGGUUUUAGAAAUUGAGAUA